rnacentral:rRNA from 1 species
UACGGAGGGGGCUAGCGUUGUUCGGAAUUACUGGGCGUAAAGCGCACGUAGGCGGCUUUGUAAGUUAGAGGUGAAAGCCCGGGGCUCAACUCCGGAAUUGCCUUUAAGACUGCAUCGCUAGAAUUGUGGAGAGGUAAGUGGAAUUCCGAGUGUAGAGGUGAAAUGCGUAGAUAUCGGGAGGAACACCAGUGGCGAAGGCGAUCACCUGGGGUUGUUCUGACGCUGAGGAGCGAAAGCUAGGGGAGCAAACGGG